rnacentral:rRNA from 1 species
UACGUAGGGUGCAAGCGUUGCCCGGAUUUAUUGGGCGUAAAGGGCGCGUAGGCGGCUCGUGAAGUCGGGUGUGAAAGCCCGGGGCUCAACCCCGGAACGGCAUCCGAUACUGGCGGGCUUGAGACCGGGAGAGGAGGGUGGAAUACCCAGUGUAGAGGUGAAAUUCGUAGAUAUUGGGUGGAACACCGGUGGCGAAAGCGGCUCUCUGGCCCGGAUCUGACGCUGAGGCGCGAAAGCGUGGGGAGCAAACAGG